CCUACGGGCGGCAGCAGUGAGGAAUAUUGGUCAAUGGACGUGAGUCUGAACCAGCCAAGUAGCGUGCAGGAUGACUGCCCUAUGGGUUGUAAACUUCUUUUAUAUGGGAAUAAAAUGUUCCACGUGUGGGAUUUUGUAUGUACCAUAUGAAUAAGGAUCGGCUAACUCCGUGCCAGCAGCCGCGGUAAUACGGAGGGUCCGAGCGUUAUCCGGAUUUAUUGGGUUUAAAGGGAGCGUAGGUGGAUUGUUAAGUCAGUUGUGAAAGUUUGCGGCUCAACCGUAAAAUUGCAGCUGAAACUGGCAGUCUUGAGUACGGUAGAGGUGGGCGGAAUUCGUGGUGUAGCGGUGAAAUGCUUAGAUAUCACGAAGAACUCCGAUUGCGAAGGCAGCUCACUGGACUGCAACUGACACUGAGGCUCGAAAGUGUGGGUAUCGAACAGGAUUAGAUACCCGAGUAGUC
rnacentral:rRNA from 1 species